ACGGAGGGUGCAAGCGUUAAUCGGAAUUACUGGGCGUAAAGCGCACGCAGGCGGUUUGUUAAGUCAGAUGUGAAAUCCCCGGGCUCAACCUGGGAACCCCAUCUGAUACUGGCAAGCUUGAGUCUCGUAGGGGAGGGUAGAAGUCCAGAUGUAGCGGUGAAAUGCGUAGAGAUCUGGUGCACUACCGGUGGAGGGGCCGGCCCCCUGGACGAAGACUGACGCUCAGGUGCGAAAGCGUGGGGAGCAAACAG
rnacentral:rRNA from 1 species